CGUACAGUUCAGCUCUUCAUCAACUGAUUCAUAGCGUCGUCGAGUUCCUACUGGACAAACAGUGCCGAUCUGGUAUAGUACUGUUUUCGGUGCGUUUCGUGUCAUACUGGUGUUUGCGUGCUCGUGGUUUCUAGCCCGUGGUGUUACAGUUUGUGCUAUUAUUUCCGGCUUUUCUUAACGUGUUACCAACUGUCGAUCACUUUCCAGAUCGUCAAUCCAUAUCUCUUCUGUGAUCGGAUAUUUGGAGCCUCAACAAUAGUUGUACUUUUCAAGAUAUCUUCCGUCGUCAGCAGCAGUUUUAGUUAAAUCAACAUGUCGGCUAUUUCGGAAUUCCGCAAAAAGAAGCUACUAUACGUUUUCAACGUAUUCUUCGAUGUUAACCAGAGUGGUGAAAUCGAUCUCAAGGACUUCGAGUUGGCUAUCGAGAAAAUUUGCGAACUUCGUGGAUGGCCUGCAGGUAAUCCAAAAAAUGUCGAAACGCACGACUGCAUGUUAAAAAUCUGGGAGGGUCUUCGCUCCAAGGCGGACAAGGACAACGAUGGCCAGGUUUCGGUUGAUGAAUGGUGCAACAUGUGGGAUGCCUACGCUAAGGAUCCAAGUACUGCCAUGGACUGGCAGUUGAGAUACAUGAACUUCAUGUUCGACCUGGAAGAUGCCUCGCACGACGGAACCAUCGAUGCCGAUGAGUUCUCCAUCGUUUGCUCGAGCUAUGGCGUUGACAAGAAUGAAUGCCAGGAAGCAUUCAAGAAGAUGUCGAAGGGAGCUGUUGAGGUGGAUCGCGAACAGUUCGCCGAGUUAUGGCGCGAAUACUUCUCAUCCGAUGAACCGUCCUCUCCCGGAAACUUCAUUUUUGGCAAAACAUCAUUUUAACGGAGUUGCAGUUUGUAAGCGCGUCAUCAACGGCCGGAGGAUCGACCACCAAUUCGAAAAUGCUACGAUUAAGCAGCCAACAGAGAAAAUGAUCAAAAUUACAACGAGAACGAAAAGGAUGGUAAUGGUGGUGGUGAUUGCAGUUAUCAAUAGAGAAACUAACGGAUGCAAGCAACCAGAAUCGUAGCACAGGAAGAGGAUUUCAUAGAUUAUUUCAGCAAGCAGCACGGGAUGUUGGAUACCUUGGAGCGAUGCAAGGAGAGAAGCGGUUGGUGGUGCCAAUAUAAUGAUGAACACAUAAAAAAACAAAGCGUGUCACUGGAUUAAUUUGGUUUUUGGUACAAUGAUAUAACGGAACGAAAAACAAAAUUUGCAGCUGAUUAAAUGGCAAAAUAGUGUCGUUUCUUCCAAAAACACUGCAAAACUGAACCAUCAUUGUGCUAGUCAAACCAUAUGAUUGUUGUAGUAAUAAAUGGGGCGUGCUGAUUUUAUUACACUGCACUCGAUAAUGAUGAUAUCAACAAUAGAGAUGUAUGUUUGAGUAGAUCGUGUGUAAUAGGAUGGAAUGAAAAUCAAUGUAUACCACCUUCUUCUACAGCAUGUGCGUGUUAAACUAUCUGAGUGUUUAACGGAACUAUGCAACAACUCUCAC